ACGGGAGGCAGCAGUGGGGAAUAUUGCACAAUGGAGGAAACUCUGAUGCAGCGACGCCGCGUGAGUGAUGAAGUAUUUCGGUACGUAAAGCUCUAUCAGCAGGGAAGAUAAUGACGGUACCUGACUAAGAAGCACCGGCUAAAUACGUGCCAGCAGCCGCGGUAAUACGUAUGGUGCAAGCGUUAUCCGGAUUUACUGGGUGUAAAGGGAGCGUAGGUGGUUUGGCAAGCCAGAAGUGAAAACCCGGGGCUCAACUCCGUGGAUUGCUUUUGGAACUGUUGAACUAGAGUGCAGGAGGGGUAAGUGGAAUUCCCAGUGUAGCGGUGAAAUGCGUAGAUAUUGGGAGGAACACCAGUGGCGAAGGCGGCUUACUGGACUGUAACUGACACUGAGGCUCGAAAGCGUGGGGAGCAAACAGGAUUAGAUACCCUGGUA
rnacentral:rRNA from 1 species